rnacentral:lncRNA from 1 species
GAUUCUGAUGUCUAAACGCCGAGAUCCUGUUUUUGAUAGUUGAUCCGAUGAUACGAGUGAUUGAUUCCGGUGACCUAUGAGUAUUGCGAUGAAGGCGAGAGUUCCCCUCUCUCCAGAUCUCAUAGAUCGAAUUUUGCCACGCAAGGAGAAGAAUGUAUCGAAGUUGUGAAUUCCCAGAGAAGUUGAUGAGAGAUUGAAGCAGGUCUGUCCAGUCAUCGCUCAGGUGAGCCCGCAAAAUUGAGUAAGAAAGAGGUCUCCAGAUCGCCUGAGAGUAACUACAAGCAAAGAAAAGAUGGUGCCUUGAUUCUGCCAUUUGAUUGAAAAGGAGACAACUCGCAUCAACAGGGAGACCCCACGAGAGGAGUCGAUCACGUGUAGGGCAUCGAUCGAGGAUGAAAAGCCAGGUUAGUGUUCGAUGUUUUGGAAUUCCUCUUUUGAUCCAGACAAUUUUAUCCCAAUCCACCAGAGGUUUUACUUCUCUUAAGCUAUUGUAGAUCAGUCCCGAGCAAAAGUCCUCUCUAACAGCGUCUUGGAUGCACCACUGCUGGAUGUCUUCAGAAUCAUUGAGUCUUAUGGUCGAGAGAUGUAGAAGAAGCUGUUCAAAUCGGUCUGAUCGAGCUGGGGGAAGAAACCAAGAUCCAUUCGACCAGAGUGAAGAUACCGUUGCAUUCGAGGGAAUACCCGUAAGUCGAGGUCCAUGAGUUCCGAUGAAGUUGAUUAGAGGUCCAUAGGGAGUCCACGGAUCUCUCCAAAAUCUGUAAUUCCU